CCUACGGUGGGCAGCAGUGAGGAAUAUUGGUCAAUGGGCGCGAGCCUGAACCAGCCAAGUCGCGUGAGGGAAGACGGUCCUAUGGAUUGUCAACCUCUUUUGUCGGGGUGCAAAAGACGCCACGCGUGGCGUUCCGAGAGUACCCGAAGAAAAAGCAUCGGCUCACUACGUGCCAGCAGCCGCGGUAAUCCGGAGGCUGCGAGCGUUAUCCGGAUUUAUUGGGUUUAAAGGGUGCGCAGGCGGAAGAUCAAGUCAGCGGUAAAAUUGAGGGGCCUAACCUCUUCGAGCCGUUGAAACUGGUUUUCUUGAGUGAGCGAGAAGUAUGCGGAAUGCGUGGUGUAGCGGGGACAUGCAUAGAUAUCACGCAGAACUCCGAUUGCGAAGGCAGCAUACCGGCGCUCAACUGACGCUCAUGCACGAAAGUGUGGGUAUCGAACAGGAUUAGAUACCCCUGUAGUC
rnacentral:rRNA from 1 species